rnacentral:rRNA from 1 species
CCUACGGGAGGCAGCAGUGGGGAAUCCUGCGCAAUGCGCGAAAGCGUGACGCAGCAACGCCGCGUGGGGGAAGAAGGCCUUCGGGUUGUAAACCCGUUUCAGGAGGGACGAAGCCAGGGCGGUGAAUAGCCGACCCUGGUGACGGUACCUCCAGAAGAAGCCCCGGCUAACUACGUGCCAGCAGCCGCGGUAAUACGUAGGGGGCAAGCGUUGUCCGGAAUUAUUGGGCGUAAAGCGCGUGUAGGCGGUCCGAUAAGUCGGUUGUGAAAGCCCAGGGCUCAACCCUGGGAUGCCGACCGAUACUGUCGGACUAGAGUUCGGAAGAGGCGAGUGGAAUUCCCGGUGUAGCGGUGAAAUGCGCAGAUAUCGGGAGGAACACCAAUGGCGAAGGCAGCUCGCUGGGACGUUACUGACGCUGAGACGCGAAAGCGUGGGGAGCAAACAGGAUUAGAUACCCUGGUAGUCCACGCCGUAAACGAUGGGCACUAGGUGUGGCGGGUGUCGACUCCCGCCGUGCCGCAGCUAACGCAUUAAGUGCCCCGCCUGGGGAGUACGGCCGCAAGGCUAAAACUCAAAGGAAUUGACGGGGACCCGCACAAGCAGCGGAGCAUGUGGUUUAAUUCGACGAAACGCGAAGAACCUUACCUGGGUUUGACAUGUUCCUGACCGCCGUGGAAACACGGUUUCCCUUAGGGGCAGGAUCACAGGUGGUGCAUGGCUGUCGUCAGCUCGUGUCGUGAGAUGUUGGGUUAAGUCCCGCAACGAGCGCAACCCCCGUCGCAUGUUGCCAGCAUUUAGUUGGGGACUCAUGCGAGACUGCCGGUGACAAACCGGAGGAAGGUGGGGAUGACGUCAAGUCAUCAUGCCCCUUAUGUCCAGGGCUACACACGUGCUACAUUGGCCGGUACAGAGGGCUGCGAAACGGCGAGGUGGAGCGAAUCCCAAAGCCGUCUUGGUUCGGAUUGGAGGCUGAAACUCGCCUCCAUGAAUGUGGAGUUGCUAGUAUUCUCGGAUCA